AUUGAACGCUGGCGGAAUGCUUUACACAUGCAAGUCGAACGGCAGCACGGACUUCGGUCUGGUGGCGAGUGGCGAACGGGUGAGUAAUGUAUCGGAACGUGCCCAGUCGUGGGGGAUAACGUAGUGAAAAUUACGCUAAUACCGCAUACGAUCUAUGGAUGAAAGCGGGGGAUCGCAAGACCUCGCGCGAUUGGAGCGGCCGAUAUCAGAUUAGGUAGUUGGUGGGGUAAAGGCCCACCAAGCCAACGAUCUGUAGCUGGUCUGAGAGGACGACCAGCCACACUGGAACUGAGACGCGGUCCAGACUCCUACGGGAGGCAGCAGUGGGGAAUUUUGGACAAUGGGCGAAAGCCUGAUCCAGCCAUUCCGCGUGCAGGAUGAAGGCCCUCGGGUUGUAAACUGCUUUUGUACAGAACGAAAAGGUUUCUACUAAUACUAGGAGCUCAUGACGGUACUGUAAGAAUUAGCACCGGCUAACUACGUGCCAGCAGCCGCCGUAA
rnacentral:rRNA from 1 species